UCCCUUCUGGCUCAGCUGGUAAAGAAUCCACCUGCACUGUGGGAGACCUGGGUUCGAUCCCUAGGUUGGGAA
rnacentral:tRNA from 1 species